rnacentral:rRNA from 1 species
AACGCGAAGAACCUUACCUGGGCUUGACAUGUUUCUGACCGCCGUGGAAACACGGUUUCUCUUCGGAGCAGAAUCACAGGUGGUGCAUGGCUGUCGUCAGCUCGUGUCGUGAGAUGUUGGGUUAAGUCCCGCAACGAGCGCAACCCCCGUCGUAUGUUGCCAGCAUUUAGUUGGGGACUCAUACGAGACUGCCGGUGACAAACCGGAGGAAGGUGGGGAUGACGUCAAGUCAUCAUGCCCCUUAUGUCCAGGGCUACACACGUGCUACAUUGGCGCGUACAGAGGGCUGCAAGACCGCGAGGUGGAGCGAAUCCCUUAAAGCGCGUCUCGGUUCGGAUUGUAGGCUGAAACUCGCCUACAUGAAGGUGGAGUUGCUAGUAAUCGCGGAUCAGCAUUGCCGCGGUGAAUACGUUCCCGGGCCUUGUA